rnacentral:rRNA from 1 species
CCUACGGGAGGCAGCAGUGGGGGAUAUUGCACAAUGGGGGAAACCCUGAUGCAGCGACGCCGCGUGAGUGAAGAAGUAUUUCGGUAUGUAAAGCUCCAUCAGUAGGGAAGAAAAUGACAGUACCUGACCAAGAUGCCCCGGCUAACUACGUGCCAGCAGCCGCGGUACUACGUAGGGGGCAAGCGUUAUCCGGAUUUACUGGGUGUAAAGGGAGCGUAGACGGUUAUGUAAGUCUGGAGUGAAAGCCCGGGGCGCAACCUCGGGACUGCUUUGGGAACUGUGUAACUGGAGUGCGGGGGGGGCAGGCGGAAUUCGUGGUGUAGCGGUGAAAUGCGUAGAUAUCAGGAGGAACGCCGACGGCGAAGGCGGCCUGCUGGACUGAAACUGACGUUGAGGCUCGAAAGCGUGGGGAGCGAACAGGAUUAGAUACCCCAGUAGUC